rfam:Rattus norvegicus chromosome 19, whole genome shotgun sequence.
GGGGAUUUAGCUCAGUGGUAGAGCGCUUGCCUAGCGACCGCAAGGCCCUGGGUUCGGUCCCCAGCUCCA